GACGAACGCUGGCGGCGUGCUUAACACAUGCAAGUCGAACGGAAAGGCCCUGCUUUUGUGGGGUGCUCGAGUGGCGAACGGGUGAGUAACACGUGAGUAACCUGCCCUUGACUUUGGGAUAACUUCAGGAAACUGGGGCUAAUACCGGAUAGGAGCUCCUGCUGCAUGGUGGGGGUUGGAAAGUUUCGGCGGUUGGGGAUGGACUCGCGGCUUAUCAGCUUGUUGGUGGGGUAGUGGCUUACCAAGGCUUUGACGGGUAGCCGGCCUGGGAGGGUGACCGGCCACAUUGGGACUGAGAUACGGGCCAGACUCCUACGGGAGGCAGCAGUGGGGAAUAUUGCACGAUGGGCGGAAGCCUGAUGCAGCAACGCCGCGUGCGGGAUGACGGCCUUCGGGUUGUAAACCGCUUUCGCCUGUGACGAAGCGUGAGUGACGGUAAUGGGUAAAGAAGCACCGGCUAACUACGUG
rnacentral:rRNA from 1 species